CCUACGGGAGGCAGCAGUGAGGAAUAUUGGUCAAUGGACGGAAGUCUGAACCAGCCAUGCCGCGUGCAGGAAGACGGCUCUAUGAGUUGUAAACUGCUUUUGUACAAGGGUAAACCUGAAUACGUGUAUUCAGCUGAACGUACUGUACGAAUAAGGAUCGGCUAACUCCGUGCCAGCAGCCGCGGUAAUACGGAGGAUCCAAGCGUUAUCCGGAUUUAUUGGGUUUAAAGGGUGCGUAGGCGGGUUGCUAAGUUAGAGGUGAAAUGUCCGGGCUCAACUCGGGAACUGCCUCUAAUACUGUUGAUCUAGAGCGUAGGUGCGGUAGGCGGAAUGUCUGGUGUAGCGGUGCAAUGCUUAG
rnacentral:rRNA from 1 species